CAAAUAUUUGGCAAUGAGGUCUGCCUUAAACCGUUCUAUCUAGAGCUAAUGACAUCUACUUUAAU
rnacentral:ncRNA from 2 species